GGGGAUAUAGCUCAAUGGUAAAGUGCUUGCUUUGCAUGUCUUAGACCCUGGGUUCAAUUCCCAGCACUACCA
rnacentral:tRNA from 1 species